AUGCACUUUCUUCUGUGUCAAGUUGGACAGAAGGGACUUGUUUCUUUUCAGAUGGAACAUCCACUGGAAGAGAUUAAUGGAAUUUAUUGCUUUCCACAUGUGUAUUCCAGGACAGAGGGCAAGUGGAUAAGGAGAUGCAUACAAUGCUGCUGUCAGUUUCCACAAGAUACUGAUGAAGGGUGUGCAGGCAUAGCUGUCAAAAACAAUAACAAAGUAUUUUGGAAGUGUGUACCGACCACUCAAGGAUCAGCUGUGAAUGAAAUAAAAGCAUUUUUCUCAAAUUCAUUAGGUAUUCAACUGUCUUAAUAUUUCACUACAGACAGGUUUAUUAUUAUUUUUC
rnacentral:lncRNA from 1 species